UUGAACGCUGGCGGCAUGCUUCCACAUGCUUAUCGUCGAACGGCAGCGCGGACUUCGGUCUGGCGGCGAGUGGCGAACGGGUGAGUAAUACAUCGGAACGUACCCUGUUGUGGGGGAUAACUAGUCGAAAGAUUAGCUAAUACCGCAUACGACCUGAGUGGUGAAGUGCGGGGGACCGCGAGGCCUCGCGCAGCAGGAGCGGCCGAUGUCUGAUUAGCUAGUUGGUGGGGUAAAGCGCCCACCAAGGCGACGAUCAGUAGCUGGUCUGAGAGGACGAUCAGCCACACUGGGACUGAGACACGGCCAGACUCCUACGGGAGGCAGCAGUGGGGAAUUUUGGACAAUGGGGGCAACCCUGAUCCAGCAAUGCCGCGUGUGUGAAGAAGGCCUUCGGGUUGUAAAGCCCUUUUGUUGGGAAAGAAAUCCAGCUGGCUAAUACCCGGUUGGGAUGACGGUACCCAAAGAAUAAGCACCGGCAUAACUUCGUGCCAGCAGCCGCGGUAAUACGAAGGGUGCAAAGCGUUACUCGGAAUUACUGGGCGUAAAGCGUGCGUAGGUGGUCGU
rnacentral:rRNA from 1 species